rnacentral:rRNA from 2 species
CACCGGCAGCUCAAGUGGUGGCCAUUUUUAUUGGGCCUAAAGCGUUCGUAGCCGGUUUGAUAAGUCUCUGGUGAAAUCCCGCAGCUUAACUGUGGGACUUGCUGGAGAUACUAUUAGACUUGAGGUCGGGAGAGGUUAGGGGUACUCCCAGGGUAGGGGUGAAAUCCUAUAAUCCUGGGAGGACCACCUGUGGCGAAGGCGCCUAACUGGAACGAACCUGACGGUGAGUAACGAAAGCCAGGGGCGCGAACCGG